AGUUGGAGGGGUUAAGACUCUCUCCCCUAAAGCAAGCCAUAAAGCUGGGGCAGAAAGUCAUUCCAGAAGGGUUCUGCCCCAUCCCCGGGGGUAAGGAAUGCUGCAUAAAGAGGCCAAGAAGAAUCUGAGCAGACAGGCCUUGCUGGGUUCCCCGCUGGUCUAUCACCAACCGUGAAUCUAUACAGCUGUCCACUCUUCCUUCUUCCUCAAACGAGCAGAGAGUGCUGGCGUUUCUGAGAUGUGGGCAAGUUUUGAUCGUAUCCUUUAACCAGAGGGGCAAUGGGUUUGUAACUGAACAUCAACACUAAACAGAAGUUUAUGAAGUCACGAGUGUCCUUCUCAGUCUCUAGAGGGGUUCAUCUAUAACCUUAACACAGCAUUGAUGGCGGUGAUGAAGGAUCCUGCCCGUCCUCCCAGAGCAUCGAGAGCUCUCAUUCUGAGAAUCAGGCGAAGUGGCUAGGACUACAGUGAUUUGAUUAUUCCUGUAUAUACAAUUUUCAAGCUCCGUGCCUAGAGCGUGCAUGCAGUUGCUGCAUUCCUUUGAGAAGACCCAGAUUGUCAAGGGGAAACCUUUCUGGAGAGAGAGCAAGAACAACACACUUCGUGGAGGUCAGAGGACAACUUUGUGCAGUCAGUUUUUUGCCUUCUGAUCCUAUGUGAGCAUCAGCCUUAUCCUGCCAACAGCGUUACCCACUGAGCCACCUCGACUGCUAACUUGGGGACUUAUUUCAGGGACUUAUUAUCUCUGUGCUUGAUUUCAUUGACUCUGGCCAUCAGAAUUUAUGUCUGUCUGGGUUUUAUGAUUACAGGAGGAAUAAAGGAAAUAGGGUCACUGAG